rnacentral:rRNA from 1 species
AACGGCGAGUGAAGAGGGAAAAGCCCAAAUUUGUAAUCUGGCUCUUUCAGAGUCCGAGUUGUAAUUUUAAGAACUGUUUUCCGUGCUGGACCAUGUACAAGUCUGUUGAAAAACAGCAUCAUUGAGGGUGAAAAUCCCGUACAUGAUAUGGACUACCAGUGCAAUGUGAUACAGUCUCUAAGAGUCGAGUUGUUUGGGAAUGCAGCUCAAAGUGGGUGGUAAAUUCCAUCUAAGGCUAAAUAUAGGUGAGAGACCGAUAGCAAACAAGUACCGUGAGGGAAAGAUGAAAAGAACUUUGGAAAGAGAGUUAACAGUACGUGAAAUUGUUAAAAGGGAAACAUUUGAAGUUAGACUUGUUAUUGUUGGUUCAACUUCUUUAUUGAGGUGUAUUCCAAUGGUUAACAGACCAGCAUCAAUUUUUGGGUGUUGGAUAAGGGUUUAGGAAAUGUGGCAACCUUGGUUGUGUUAUAGUCCUUUACUUUGAUACAAUGCUUAGGAUUGAGGAACGCAGUAAGCUUUGUAGCAGAUUUCUUUGGAGGUCUUCUUACUA